rnacentral:lncRNA from 1 species
CUAAACCAAGUUUUUCAACAAGCAAAGAGCUUGCGACAUUGGUGCAACUCCCUCCGUCAAUAAUCAAACCACACACCUUGCCUUGAACAUGGCAACGAGUAUGAAAGAUGUUGUCUCGUUGUUGUUCUUCCUCGGCUACUUGGAUAUUCAAACUCCUUUUGAAAAUAAGUAAUUCUCCUUCAACGGGUAGCUCGAGCUCUUCACCUUCCUCC